GAGGAUAUAACUCAGUGGGAGAGCAUGUGCUUAUAGCACGCACACAGUCCUGGGUUCAAUCCCCAGUACUUUCA
rnacentral:tRNA from 1 species